AAUCUGGCAGUCUUCGAUUGUCCGAGUUGUAAUCUAUAGAGGCGUUUUCCGUGCCGGACCGUGUCCAAGUCUCCUGGAAAGGAGUAUCAAAGAGGGUGAUAAUCCCGUACUUAACACGACCACCGGUGCUCUGUGAUACGUCUUCUACGAGUCGAGUUGUUUGGGAAUGCAGCUCAAAAUGGGUGGUGAAUUCCAUCUAAAGCUAAAUAUUGGCGAGAGACCGAUAGCGAACAAGUACCGUGAGGGAAAGAUGAAAAGCACUUUGGAAAGAGAGUUAAACAGUACGUGAAAUUGUUGAAAGGGAAACGAUUGAAGUCAGUCGUGUUCUUUGGAUUCAGCCAGUUCUGCUGGUCUACUUCCUUGGAACGGGUCAACAUCAGUUUUGUCCGGUGGAUAAAGGUAGUAGGAAUGUGACUUCUCCGGAAGUGUUAUAGCCUGUUAUCACAUACACUGGGUGAGACUGAGGACUGCAGCUCGCCUUUAUGGCCGGUCUUCGGACACGUUCGAGCUUAGGAUGUUGACAUAAUGGCUUUAAACGACCCGUCUUG
rnacentral:rRNA from 1 species